AGCAGAAGGAGGGGUUACGUGGAGCCGGCGCCGCUGAGGGCGCGGGGCGGUGUGAGGGGCCAUGCUGCCGCCGCCGCGGUAAUUGAGAAUGGGUCCUCAACGAUGCUGAGUGUACAAUGGGAAGCGUCACGCUCCGCUAUUUCUGUUAUGGGUGCCUUUUCACAUCGGUGACCUGGACACUUCUGCUCUUUGUUUAUUUCAACUUCAGUGAAGAGAACCAAUCCUUCAAGAAUGUGCCCGUCAAGGGGCUAGAACCUCAGAAGCCAUUUCCAAAAAAAUUCUACCCCCGUUUCACUCGAGGGCCAGUUAACGUACCUGAAUUGCAGCAGAAAGAGAGUAAAUUUAGAAAUCCUAUUGGAAAUCAUGUCCAGGACCCAGUAAAGGGAGAGGGAGACUUCUCUCCUGAAAUGGGAAUGAUUUUUAAUGAAGAAGAUCAGGAGGUCCGAGACUUGGGCUAUCAGAAGCAUGCUUUCAAUAUGCUCAUCAGUAACCGGCUGGGGUAUCACAGGGAGGUUCCUGAUACAAGAGAUGCAAAGUGUAGAGAGAAAUCCUACCCUUCUGAUCUGCCAUUUGCCAGUGUUAUCAUCUGUUUCUACAAUGAAGCACUUUCUGCCCUGCUUCGCACAGUGCACAGUGUCCUGGAUCGCACUCCUGCACACCUUCUUCAUGAAAUUAUUUUGGUGGAUGACAACAGUGAACUGGCUGACUUGAAGAAAGACUUGGUUGAAUAUGUUAAAACUCAGCUUCCUAAAACAACAAAACUAGUAAGAAAUGAGAAGCGGGAAGGUUUGAUUCGAGGAAGGAUGAUUGGAGCCUCUCAUGCUACAGGAAAAGUGCUGGUUUUCCUGGACAGUCACUGUGAGGUAAAUGAGAUGUGGCUGCAACCUCUGCUGACUCCAAUCAAAGAAGACCGCAGGACUGUGGUGUGCCCUGUGAUUGACAUCAUCAGUGCUGACACACUUACCUACAGCUCUUCCCCAGUUGUGCGUGGAGGGUUUAACUGGGGCCUGCACUUUAAGUGGGAUCUUGUUCCUUUGUCAGAGCUUGAAGGUCCUGAGGGAGCCACUGCUCCAAUCAAAUCACCCACUAUGGCUGGAGGCCUGUUUGCCAUGGACCGUGAGUACUUUAAUGAGCUUGGACAGUAUGACAGUGGCAUGGACAUCUGGGGAGGAGAAAAUCUGGAGAUAUCUUUUCGGAUUUGGAUGUGUGGGGGUCGACUUCUGAUCAUUCCCUGCUCCAGAGUGGGACACAUUUUCCGUAAGAGACGUCCCUAUGGCUCUCCAGGGGGACAGGACACUAUGGCUCAUAAUUCAUUGAGGCUGGCACACGUGUGGAUGGAUGAAUACAAAGAGCAGUAUUUUGCUUUGAGACCUGAGCUAAGGACAAGGCACUAUGGAAAUAUAACUGAUCGUGUAGAACUGAGAAAAAGAUUGAACUGCAAGUCAUUCAAGUGGUAUUUAGAUAACAUCUAUCCUGAGAUGCAAGUAUCCGGGCCCAAUGCCAAAGCUCCACAGCCAGUUUUUAUUAAUAGAGCACAAAAGCGACCAAAAGUAAUCCAGCGUGGAAGGCUGUAUCACCUUCAAACCAACAAAUGCCUGGUUGCUCAGGGCCACCCAAGUCAGAAAGGAGGCCUGGUGGUGGUUCGGGAGUGCGACUACAAUGAUCAAAACCAGGCUACUUUUUACCAUGUGAAUAGAUAGCAGUCUCAGUAAGUUGAAGGAACAAAGUGAACUCUACGUGGGAAAACAUGUGAAGGUCUUGGAAACAACGCUGCCCUUCUUGAGACUCACUGAGCACAGUACUUUGGACUGGAAAAUGGUCUUCUGCAUGAUUUUGUAGUUAGAAAUAGCACAGGUAGAAAUAGUGGAAGGGUCUGGUAGAAACAAGAUCAGAGAUAAGAAGCCUGAAGUAACAGAAGCUGAGGAGCAGAAAUGCUGAGUGUGAAUUUUGCAAGCAGAAGGCUAACAUGGGAUUAACGUUGUGUAGUUGAAGAGUGGUUGUGUGGAGAUGCCAAGACAGCUGAAGUGAACUCUUCUGCUCAGUCUGCAGUGUGUGACCUCUUUCCAUAAACGAAACUGGGAAUGCACAAGGUAGCACACAGCGUGAAACGUGGGUGGUGAAGGAGGCCAGAAAGCAUUUAAGGGCUUCAAAAGGUCAGACAUCUCCAUCUCUGUCUUUCACAAUGAAAUGCAGAAAUAAACAAACAAAAACAAGCACCCCAAGUGUUGUGGAUUCUACCAAAAAUGUUGUCUAAGGUUAAUAGAUGGUGAUUAGGCAGAAAAGGUGCUGAAGUUCUUCAUGACAGAUGCUCCAAAGGAAAAAGUAGUUACUAAUAAACUUGUAAGAGGAGCUUCAGAGACCCCAGUGAAGAUUUUUGGAAUGAAGCAUGAAGGCCAACAGAAGAUGUAACUAGUGGGACUGGCUGUGAUCUAGAUUGGCUCUCUCAUGUGUCUAAUGCCUGCUUAUCUUCUGCCUGACCUAAAUGCUUCAAGUCAAGCUGCUUUUCAAAAAAAGAAUCUUCUCCUAGUCUGCUGAGUAGUGUUUUGUUUUUUUUUCCUAUUCUCUUGGUUUCACCCCUUCUCUGUUCAUUUGUUUCAAUUCAGUAACUUAAGCUUUCUUUAGCUUAGCAAUGUAUUAGGCUUUACAGUUGUGAAUGCUGCCCUUGAGGCUGGGGUUAGCUGGUGGGUGUCUGUGCUCAGCUGCAUGGGGUUGGGAAGUCACAAGAGCUGUUAACCUCUUGUAGCACUCCAUCAGUGUAAGCAUGUGUAAUUCUGACUCUUGAACUGUUUGUAGGAGGAUGAGCUUUAAGUGCUACAGCUCUUCUGUAGGGUUCUCCUCCCUAAAUCUCUGCAUCAUGGGUGUAAGUUUUGUUUUUCUGAUGCAUUUGCCUGGAGUGAGUGUGGAGAAGUGUGAGCUAUCUCUACUGCUGCAUUUUCAUCAGCCCAUUGAAGGACAUGAUCCCACAGUUCCUCUUCAAAUCCUCAGCCACACACUGAGAUACAAAAUAGGAUCACAUGGACAUCAGCAAUGCCUUCAGGAGGACGUUGAGUCUCCUGGAUAGCAGUAGCUUAAAGUAAUGAUUGCAGAUCCCAUGCUUUGCCUUUGCUGCUGACUUUCACAAGUUAUUUGGUGCUGUGAUGUCACUGCUAGCCACUAGAAACAUGAACUGAAGGGCUACACGUAGCUGUAAUGAUGCAGUCGCUGGGCACAGCUUGUCCUCAUGCUGAGGUGGCUGCUUGGUGCUCUUCAGCUUCAUUUUGUCAUUUAAAAAACUCUGGAAUAAUGCACUGGUGCCAAUGUAAGCAACAGAUGGCAGCUGCUUGGAGUGCUGGAAUGCCUGUGCUGGCAGCAGAGCCCACAGCCAUAAUUCUGUCACACACAGAGCUGGUUCUGUAAUAGUUGCUGGCUUGCAUUUAUUGGAGUGAAGUUUUUCAUUGCAUUCCUCUCCUCCUAAUGCAAUUUACAGAUGAAAUGAGUGUACAUCCACAGAGCUUUGCCAGCUGCCCCCUGUGCCUUUUGCUACCAGCAUUGCACUCUGAGAGCCAAAGUCCUUCACUUACUAUUGGUUUGAUUUUUUUUUUUUCCCAGGUUGAGUGCUGGGUUUUGUUUCAGUACAGCCAUCUGUAUUGACCUGGACUCAAAGUCUGAUGUGGGUUUACAAUGAAGAUCACGAGCUGAUUUUGAAUAACCUCCUGUGCUUGGAUGUGUCAGAAACUCGCUCGUCUGACCCUCCUCGCCUCAUGAAGUGCCACGGCUCUGGUGGAUCUCAGCAGUGGACCUUUGGG